GUACGUACAAGGAUAACUUUGUGAAUGAUAAAGCUAAUACUUGAUACGUUCCGGGGAGUAUUUAUACUUCACGGCCAUCUGCCGCGAGGUGGGUGAGGAGCGACACUCUUCUGUGAGGAAGGGUGCCGUGACAAUUGCAGAAAGCUACGCUUUUUACAAGUAACCAAUGAGAAUUUCUGAUCUAUCAAUUUGUUGGUAGUAUCGAGGACUACCAAGAUUAUAACGGAUAACGAGGAAUUGGGGUUCGACAUCGGAGAGGGAGCUUUACAGAUGGCUACCACUUCUAAGGAAGGCAGCAGGCGCGUAAAUUACCCACUUUCGACCUGAAGAGGUAGUGACGACAAUUAACUCUGGAGAUGCCAUAUGGUAUCUCUUGAAGGAAUGAUUAAGAAUUAAAUUCUCUUAAGAAAUCAAUUGGAGGGCAAGUCUGGUGCCAGCAGCCGCGGUAAUUCCAGCUCCAAUAGUGUAUAUUAAAGUUGCUGUGAUUAAAACGCUCGUAGUUGAAUUAUAAUGCGUUUAGUAUUUGGAGGCCUUACUUUGUGAGGUUGAAGGGUACAUCGAAUAAUGUUUAGGUGAUAUUCACUUGUGGGUAUCAUUACUUUGAAAAAAAUAGAGUGUUUAAAGCAAAUCUUAUGUUAAUGAAUAAUGAAGCAUGGGAUAAUAUUGAGGGGAUCCUUCGGGAUUUCGAGAGAAGGA
rnacentral:rRNA from 1 species